GCCGCCCAAAUGCCUAUAAAAAGGAGGAACGAGGAGCACUUUAACCACACCGAACCUGUAGCCGAGAGUCGAGCACAUUUUCUCUUCGAGCAAGCACAAACAGACACCGAUUCACAGCCAUGAAGACCUUCGUCUUACUGUUGUGCCUGGCCCUGGUCGUGGCAGCAUUCGCCCUUGAGGACUUCGACGAGGAUGACGAGUAUGUCAAGAGGGCCGUGAACGACCUGCGCGAGUUCAUGGAAAAGAGGGGCAGGAAGGGCAGGAAGAGCGCCUACUUCAAUUGUUUCGACGACUAUGGAAACCCCUGCGUCUGCAAAAUGGUCAAAGGCAAGAAGUCCCCCGUCCAAUGCCUAUAAGCUCAGCGGGCCAUGAUCCGGGGGAGAAUUGAUCAUGACAACUGGCAUUUGUAAACUACCCUUUAUCGACAGGAACACCCCCGAAAUGGAUUUCGCAAAGUAGGACUUCAGGAGGAUUGGAAGUGGGUAGGCUCACCUUUAGUGGACAAGGCAGCAGAAGUUCCUCAGAUCUGUUCUCUACUCGACGUCUCUUAUUUGCUAGUGGGGCCCCAUCCCAAAAUCUUCUUCUUAGUGCUUAGAAUGCCACGCUUAAAAAAAAAAAAAAAUUCAGCCGCUGCGGUUAUGUAGUAUAAAGCAGUACACAGAAUGACCGCCAUAUUACUUUAGAAUAGGUCUGAUGAACUUUGUUGAGAAGUCAAUCGCCAUUGUAUACAAACUAGAGAAAGCUAUUAGGGUGUCAUGUUCCUUUAAAAUCCUAUUGUAUUUAACAUAAAUGAACGACUAAAAUAUGCAAUUAAACUAUCGAGAUUUUAAACAGGACAGAGUAACUUCAUGUGGAGAGUAAUAACAAACAACUUACCUUCAUGCAAAAAGAAA